rnacentral:rRNA from 1 species
CCUACGGGGGGCUGCAGUGGGGAAUAUUGGACAAUGGGGGCAACCCUGAUCCAGCCAUGCCGCGUGUGUGAAGAAGGCCCUCGGGUUGUAAAGCACUUUCAGUGAGGAAGAACGCCUGGUGGUUAAUACCCAUCAGGAAAGACAUCACUCACAGAAGAAGCACCGGCUAACUCCGUGCCAGCAGCCGCGGUAAUACGGAGGGUGCGAGCGUUAAUCGGAAUUACUGGGCGUAAAGCGCGCGUAGGUGGCUUGAUAAGCCGGUUGUGAAAGCCCCGGGCUCAACCUGGGAACGGCAUCCGGAACUGUCAAGCUAGAGUGCAGGAGAGGAAGGUAGAAUUCCAGGUGUAGCGGUGAAAUGCGUAGAGAUCGGGAGGAAUACCAGUGGCGAAGGCGGCCUUCUGGACUGACACUGACACUGAGGUGCGAAAGCGUGGGUAGCAAACAGGAUUAGAUACCCCAGUAGUC